rnacentral:rRNA from 1 species
AUCCUGGCUCAGGAUGAACGCUAGCGGCAGGCUUAACACAUGCAAGUCGAGGGGCAGCGGGGAGUAGCAAUACUCCGCCGGCGACCGGCGCACGGGUGCGUAACGCGUAUGCAACCUACCUUUAACAGGGGGAUAACACUGAGAAAUUGGUACUAAUACCCCAUAAUAUCAUAGAAGGCAUCUUUUAUGGUUGAAAAUUCCGAUGGUUAGAGAUGGGCAUGCGUUGUAUUAGCUAGUUGGUGGGG